UGGUUAAAAAGCUCGUAGUUGGAUCUCAACGGCCUUGCAAGCGGUUAACUUUGUAGGUUUACUGCUUUAUAGGCUGUGCUUUUGCUGGAGGUAUAGGGGUGCUCUUGAUCGAGUGUCUCUGGAUGCCAGCAGGUUUACUUUGAAAAAAUUAGAGUGCUCAAAGCAGGCUAAAAUGCCUGAAUAUUCGUGCAUGGAAUAAUAGAAUAGGAUGUCGAUCCUAUUUUGUUGGUUUUCGGGACUCGACAUAAUGAUAAAUAGGGACAGUCGGGGGCAUUUGUAUUCAAACGACAGAAGUGAAAUUCUUGGACCGUUUGAAGACAAACUACUGCGAAAGCAUUUGCCAAGAAUGUUUUCAUUAAUCAAGAACGAAAGUUAGAGGUUCGAAGGCGAUUAGAUACCGCCCUAGUUCUAACCAUAAACGAUGCCAGCUAGCGAUCUGCCUGCGUUUUUACUGUAGACUGGGCAGGAAGCUUCCGGGAAACCAAAGCAUUUGGGUUCCAGGGGAAGUAAGGUUGCAAAGCUGAAACUUAAAGGAACUGACGGAAGGGCACCACCAGGAGUGGAGCCUGUGGCCUAAUUUGACUCAACACGGGAAAUCUCACCAGGCCCGGACACUGGAAGGAUUGACAGAUUGAUAGCUCUUUCUUGAUUCGGUGGGUGGUGGUGCAUGGCCGUUCUUAGUUGGUGGAGUGAU
rnacentral:rRNA from 1 species